UAACUAUUAAUCAGAAGAAAACUAAUGUCGUUCAUUACCGACCCUGUUGUUUCAAUAGAUCACAAGUUGUAUUCAAAAUUGGUGAUGUUACUAUUGACUACACCAGUGCGUAUAAAUCCGUAGCUCUU